GGGGCUGAGUUUGGUAUCGACAGUUAAAACUUAUUAUGAAGCAAGUCGGAUUCUCGAUCCGUAUAAUCGAAAAUAAUAAUAAUUGCUAUUAACAAUUUAUUUAAUAAUCAAAAAACUUUAGCUUUCGCUUAAUAUUUUGGUAUUAUAUUGAUAUUGCUUUCUAUCAUAUAUAAAAAAAAGUUACUCUUUAAUUCAUUUAGUAUUAAAGUUAAGACUAUCAAUCCUUAUUUUGCUUCUUGCUAAGCUAAACUUGUGAAUGAUUCAUAAAUUCUUUUUAAUUGCACGUGGGUUCGAAUCCCACCAGUUCCAU
rnacentral:tmRNA from 14 species